UACGUGAGGGGCAAGCGUUGUCCGGAUUUAUUGGGCGUAAAGAGCUCGUAGGCGGUUUGGUAAGUCUGGUGUGAAAUCCUCCACGCUCAACGUGGAGGGGCCACCCGAUACUGCCGAUGACUGGAGUCCGGUAGAGGAGUGUGGAAUUCCCGGUGUAGCGGUGAAAUGCGCAGAUAUCGGGAGGAACACCCGUAGCGAAGGCGGCACUCUGGGCCGGUACUGACGCUGAGGAGCGAAAGCGUGGGGAGCAAACAGG
rnacentral:rRNA from 1 species